CUCAGUGGCAGCGCCCAACCUGGGAACUAGCAGAGGACCCAGGAACGGGAAAAGAGGGGAUUUGGGAACUACGACCUCCCAAGGGGAGAUCUUUCUCCAGCCUGGACAGCUCAUUGAACCGAAGUAACUCUCUAACAUGGUAUAAUGAAGAUUCCUAUGUCCGGAGCCUGGAGCCAGGAGCUAAGGUAGUGAUUCGACAUGAUGGCCAGUUUAAGACAUUGGGAGAUGUCAAGAGAAAGAUUAGGGGUAGGAUAGUAAAGAGUAGGACUGCCAGAGUUUAUAUGUAUGGAUCCCGUGUCAUCCACCACUCCACUCGACAUCUCGUCACUUCUUUUUCUCUGUCUUGUCAGUGCUUUGCAGUCCGCUCUCUGGGCUGGGUAGAGGUCCCUGAGGAGGACCUGGCACCAGGGAAGAGCAGUAUUGCUGUCAAUAACUGUAUCCAGCAGCUAGCCCAGACCCGAAACCGGAGCCAGCCUCAUGAUGGUGCCUGGGGUGAGGGCCAGAACAUGCUGAUGGUCCUGAAAAAAGAUGCCAUGAGCUUGCUGAAUCCCCUGGACCACAGUCUGAUCCAUUGUCAGCCUCUGGUUCACAUCCGUGUAUGGGGUGUGGGCAGCUCCAAGGGCCGGUGAGGACUUCUGCAUUCCCCCAACUCUGUGAGAGUUGUUUCCCCCUUCCCCCUUGCAGGCUGUGAUCCCCACUGAUGCUGAACCCUUGGACACAGAUCCUCUGAUGUGGACCCAGCACGGCCUUCCCUGCCUGGUUCAUCCCUGGUUGGGGUGGGUGGGCCCAACCCCAGCUCAGCAGGGACAGAUAGGGGAGAGUCUGAGAGACUGGGCUGAUUUUCUCCUGUGCUCCCACAUGCUUCUGGAACAGUGACAGGGACUUUGCUUUUGUUGCGGGUGACAAAGACAGCUGUAUGCUCAAAUGUCAUGUGUUUCGCUGUGAUGUGCCCGCAAAAGCCAUAGCAAGUGCUCUACAGGGGCUCUGUGCACAGAUCUUGUCAGAGAGGGUAGGACUCAGUGGAGAAGCUGCUUGUUGUUCCCCAGAUCCUAUUUCCCCUGAAGACUUCCCAAGGCAAGUGGAAUUGCUGGAUGCAGUGAGCCAGGCUGCUCAGAAGUAUGAGGCACUGUACAUGGGGAUCCUACCAGUCACCAAAGCCAUGGGUAUGGAUGUGCUGAAUGAGGCCAUUGGUACCCUCACUGGCCGUGGGGACCGGAAAACCUGGGUCCCCGCUAUGCUCAGUGUGUCUGACUCUCUGAUGACUGCACAUCCUAUUCAGGCAGAGGCUGGUGCAGAGGAAGAGCCACUGUGGCAGUGUCCUGUUCGCCUUGUAACCUUUAUUGGUGUUGGCCAUGAUCCGCAUACCUUUGGCCUCAUCGCUGAUCUUGGUUGUCAGAGCUUCCAGUGUGCAGCUUUCUGGUGCCAACCUCAUGCUGGGGGACUCUCUGAAGCUGUGCAAGCUGCCUGCAUGGUUCAGUACCAGAAGUGUCUAGUGGCCUCAGCAGCUCGGGGUAAGGCCUGGGGUGCUCAGGCUCGCGCUCGCCUGCGGCUCAAGCGGACCAGCUCCAUGGACUCCCCAGGCGGCCCCCUUCCUCCCCCUCUACUCAAAGGAGGGGUUGGGGGUGCUGGAGCAGCUCCUCGAAAGCGGGGUGUCUUCUCAUUUCUUGAUGCCUUCAGGCUAAAACCUUCUCUUCUCCAUAUGUCCUAAAUUGAUCUUAGAGGGCUGGGGAAAGAGGCUCUAUACUCUUCCAGUCCCUAGGGUUCUGUAGCCUCUCACCUUCCUGCCAUCCCUGAUCCUUGCCUACUCUGUAUUUAUGACCAAGUUCGUUGUUUAUAUGGAUGACUGAGAGGCCCUGCACUCUAACUUAGGCCUGUAGCACCACUUUCCUUUGGUCCUUUUGUUCCUUGCCCCUGUCCAGCCCUGGACAAUUGGCUCUACCUCAUCAACUUUAUAGCAGAAUCAGUGAAAAUAAAAAUCCCUCAGUAAUCUCACUAGUUAUGAGUAUAUUGACCUGGGCUAAGAUUGGGGGCCAUCAGCUUGUGUGAGGUGGGUAUUAUGCUUGGUGUUGGUCAUAAUAUGCCUGUAGCCAUAAUUAGGACAUGGUUCAUGGAAAUCUGACUCCAUUCAGCAAAGAGUUUCUAAGAGCUUUUCUAUAUUAGAUAUUAAAGUAGGCCUACUUGUAAGGGUUCCUUCUGAGACUUUUAGAGGAGAAACAACCAAAUCAGAGAAGACAGAAGAGACCAUGUAGUCUAACCAGGAAUUAUCAGAGGGUUGUGGGAGCUCAGAUAACACUUGUCCAAGGCAUUUCAGAAGACUUCUGAAGAGUUGACAUAUCUGAGUACUGAAGAUGAGCUCUUGUUAGCAAGCCUAAAGAAAGUGAAUACAAAGAUUGUGCAGGGCAGGCUACUGAUAUGUGACUUUCCAGAGGUGGAUGUGGUUAACUAUGGCAGGAACUUACGGUGUUUGCUUGAAUUUGCUUCUGAGAGCAAAAUUGGGGACAUUAGAAAAAAAACUACCUAUUUGGUAUUUUGUGAUUAAGGGCCCCGGAUACUUAGCCAGUUGUCCUUUAAAGAACUGGUGCUGGGCUGUCUAGGCAGCUCCUCCUAUACCGCCAGGCAGCUUGAGUGAGCUACCACCCCGGAAAUGACGUGCUGCCCUGCUGGCGGUGCGGAAGUGGAGAUGGCGGAGCUGUACGUGAAGCCCGGCAACAAGGAACGCGGCUGGAACGACCCGCCACAAUUCUCCUACGGGCUGCAGACUCAGACUGGUGGAACCAAACGCACUCCCCUUACUAAGAGGGUUGCGGCCCCACAGGAUGGAUCCCCUAGAGCCCCAGAAACUUCUGGACCACCUCCAGUGGAUCAUCCACCUCCUUCAAGUAAGGCUUCCAGGCCUCCACCCAUGGGGAGCUGUCCUGCUUCUGGUGUGGACCCCCCAAGUUCUCCAGUCAUUGAGUCUGAGACUCUAAUAGAAGACGUGCUAAGACCUCUGGAACAGGCAUUGGAGGAUUGCCGUGGUCACACGAAGAAGCAGGUAUGUGAUGAUAUCAGCCGACGCUUGGCACUGCUUCACGAACAGUGGGAUGGAGGGAAGUUGUCAGUACCUGUAAAGAAGAGGAUGGCACUGCUGGUACAAGAACUUUUACACCACCAGUGGGAUACAGCAGAUGACAUUCAUCGAUCACUCAUGGUUGACCAUGUGACUGAGGUCAGUCAGUGGAUGGUGGGAGUUAAAAGAUUAAUUGCAGAAAAGAGGAGUCUAUCUUCAGAGGAGAACAAAGAAGAGACAUCUACAGUGGCACCUGAGAACCAGACAAUACCAGGCUUCCAACCAUCUUCAUAAUGCCGGUGGCUCCCCAGACUCACCUCACAUGACUUCUAUGCCUUAGUGUGGACGGCCUCUUCUCACUUGGCUCCCUUUUACCACCAGGGAGACUGCUGGUCUUGAUGGGCCUGACCAAAGAUCCUACCUAGGCUACUGCAAGAUCACUUGUUACUCAUGUGUACAUUUCAAUAAACUUCUCAAUGGUGGGAAGUGGGUAGGAAAGGUGAGCCAUUCUG
rnacentral:lncRNA from 1 species